GCUUGUCUCAAAGAUUAAGCCAUGCAUGUCUAAGUGUAAAUAAGUCUAUACUGUGAAACUGCGAAUGGCUCAUUAAAUCAGUUAUCGUUUAUUUGAUGAUCUCUUACUACUUGGAUAACCGUAGUAAUUCUAGAGCUAAUACAUGCACAAAAUCCCGACUUACGAAGGGAUGUAUUUAUUAGAUACAAACCAACAUCGUGGUGAUUCAUAAUAACUUCGCAAAUCGCAGUAAUACUGCGAUAAAUCAUUCAAGUUUCUGCCCUAUCAUGCUCUCGAUGGUAGUGUAUUGGACUACCAUGGCUCUCACGGGUAACGGGGAAUUAGGGUUCGAUUCCGGAGAAGGAGCCUGAGAAACGGCUACUACAUCUAAGGAAGGCAGCAGG
rnacentral:rRNA from 1 species